rnacentral:tRNA from 1 species
GGGCGAUUAGCUCAGUUGGCUUAGAGCAUCUCGUUUACACCGAGGAGGUCCUAGGUUCGAGUCCUAGAUCGCCCA